UUUACCUCACUUUUGGUAAACAGUUCCAGCUUCGUCUCUUGGAGAUUCCAGAAUGGCUUUGAUGAAAAUACUGGUCGUGAGGGGUCUCCAGGGGACCACUACAGCCACUGAAGAGUCCCUAGUGGUGGUGGUCGUCUCCUAAGCCAGUAUUGUCUGCGGCAGUUUCUCUCCUCUUCCUUCCCAGAAGUGCUCCUUCAGGUGGUAUGCAGUUCAUGUGGACAACGAGCGAGGCACGACGGUCUGGCAGUGGUCAUCCUGUUACCCUACACAAUCUGGUCUCACUGAAGGCUCGGGCGACCACUGCCAGAGAGCAAAGCAUGGACUCUUGGGGUACUGAAGAACAUGUAUAACGACGGAAUAAAGUUGCACGACAUUGCCUGUCACGACGUAGUCUCGUCUGUGGGAGCAGCCUUUGAUAUAUUGCUAUUGCAGACAAUGUGCUGGUUUCCCGAAUGAUGUAAAAUAAUAAAAUUGCUAAAUUGGUAUAUAAUCUUGAAUACCUUAGGCAUAAUGUCUGUUAAUGGUUGGUGUAUAUAAAAGCUGGCACAAAGAAUCUAAAAGACUUAGAGUAGAAAUAGCCUAAGCUACUCUAUCCCUUUGAGUUUUAUUUUUUUCCUUUGUCUCGAUGAACAUACUUGAAUGUAAAAGUAAAUAAAAGU
rnacentral:lncRNA from 1 species